GCCAAUGUGGUGUAGUGGUUUGAGCACUGGACUAUGACUUCGGAGACUGGGGUUUGAAUCUCCACUUGGUCA